UACGGGGGGGGCAAGCGUUGUUCGGAAUUACUGGGCGUAAAGGGCUCGUAGGUGGCCAACUAAGUCAGACGUGAAAUCCCUCGGCUUAACCGGGGAACUGCGUCUGAUACUGGAUGGCUUGAGUUCGGGAGAGGGAUGCGGAAUUCCAGGUGUAGCGGUGAAAUGCGUAGAUAUCUGGAGGAACACCGGUGGCGAAGCGGCAUCCUGGACCGACACUGACACUGAGGAGCGAAAGCCAGGGGAGCAACGGG
rnacentral:rRNA from 1 species